CUUUAGAUCCUUCUCCUAGACUUCUGCUAUUUAGAGUAACGGAGAGAAGUAGUAGGUUGCCAUCCUCAAUGAGGACCAGCACUGGAGGGGAACAGAAGGUUUCACAGAUAUUUGCUGGCUGCAGAGGAAUGUGAAAGUCUUUAAGAACUCGUGGAUAAAGCAGAUAGCAGAAUCCUACGUUGGAAGAAGAUAUCCAUGAAACAUGGCUGAAGUAACGUGUAAAGCACAAGACAUGUUCUUUGGGCCUCAUCCAGAAGACACUUGUACCUGUAAGCAGAGACCUCAACUCUAUGCAGCUGGACCCUGAUGCCACAUGGAGUCAGCUACAGGAUCAGUGCCUUCAUUAUUUCCAUGCAAAGUCCCAUUGGUUUCAAUCAGACUCCAUCGGGUGUCACUGUAUUGGUGAGCAUAAGCAUUUGUAGAAUGAGCUCUUAGACUGUAAGCUCUUCAGGGCAGAGACCUUGCCUUUUCUCUGUUGUGUAAAGUUAUAUAAAAACCACACUGCAGAAAUAAUUACAGCACACACUGAAUACAAUAAUUCUUUUACACAAUGUGCCUUUAGUUAAAAGAGAAACAGCAAUAGAUGGUAGCAGUGGUCAAACUGAUCAUUCCGAGUUUUUCCCCACCUGUGCUGUGAAAUUCCUUUUGACCUUGCUGAUGAGCCUGGCUAUCCAUCACCCCAGGGCCUGGUCAUCUGCAAGCUGAGUGAUGAGGCCUGUCAGCUCACCUCCCAGCUUCAGUGAAACACAGCAGCAGCUGAGCUUCUGCAAUGUACAUGUCUGAUGUGUUCUUUUUCUUGCCAUCUCCUACAUUUUUUUUUCAAAUUAUUUCUCCUUUUGCUGCUGUCUUGUGGUUCAUUGGUAAGAAAAGGAAAUAACCCAAACAAGAGUCUCUAUUUUAGUUUUAGGUGAAACAUUGCAGUGGGAGACCUGAAGAUAAAGAACAAUAUUCCUCUCUCCACCUUCCCAUUCUUCCCCAAUGCUCUGCACCCUCUUUAGCAGGCAGCAAUCAAUAGGUGCUGAACUGGGGCCUAAUCCAGCACCUUUUGAAGUCAGUGGGCAUCUUCCCAUUGACUUCAUUAGAUCAAACCCUCACUGCUUCAUUUCAGUUAUUAUAAUGCGUUUAGCCUAGCAACCCAUUAUGGAGCCU